GAUGAAGAACGUAGCGAAAUGCGAUAAGUAAUGUGAAUUGCAGAAUUCAGUGAAUCAUCGAAUCUUUGAACGCACAUUGCGCCCGCCAGUAUUCUGGCGGGCAUGCCUGUUCGAGCGUCAUUACAACCCUCAAGCCCCCCGGCUUGGUGUUGGGGACCGGCCACCGGUGCCCUGCUGCUUCCGCGGCAGGCGCACCCGGCCGCCCCCGAAAUGAAUUGGCGGCCCCGUCGCGGCCCCCCUCUGCGUAGUAGCACACAUCUCGCAGCUGGAGCGCGGCGCGGCCACUGCCGUAAAACGCACCAACUUUUUUUACAGUUGACCUCGAAUCAGGUAGGAAUACCCGCUGAACUUAAGCAUAUCAAUAAGCGGAGGA
rnacentral:misc_RNA from 1 species